CAACAGGGAUUGCCCUAGUAACGGCGAGUGAAGCGGCAACAGCUCAAAUUUGAAAUCUGGCUCUUUUAGAGUCCGAGUUGUAAUUUGCAGAGGGCGCUUUGGCUUUGGCAGCGGUCCAAGUUCCUUGGAACAGGACGUCACAGAGGGUGAGAAUCCCGUACGUGGUCGCUGGCUAUUGCCGUGUAAAGCCCCUUCGACGAGUCGAGUUGUUUGGGAAUGCAGCUCUAAAUGGGAGGUACAUUUCUUCUAAAGCUAAAUAUUGGCCAGAGACCGAUAGCGCACAAGUAGAGUGAUCGAAAGAUGAAAAGCACUUUGGAAAGAGAGUCAAACAGCACGUGAAAUUGUUAAAAGGGAAGCGCUUGCAGCCAGACUUGCUUGCAGUUGCUCAUCCGGGCUUUUGCCCGGUGCACUCUUCUGUAGGCAGGCCAGCAUCAGUUUGGGCGGUAGGAUAAAGGUCUCUGUCACGUACCUCCUUUCGGGGAGGCCUUAUAGGGGAGACGACAUACUACCAGCCUGGACUGAGGUCCGCGCAUCUGCUAGGAUGCUGGCGUAAUGGCUGUAAGCGGCCCGUCUUGAAACACGGACCAAGGAGUCUAACAUCUAUGCGAGUGUUUGGGUGUCAAGCCCGAGCGCGUAAUGAAAGUGAACGGAGGUGGGAACCCGCAAGGGUGCACCAUCGACCGAUCCUGAUGUCUUCGGAAGGAUUUGAGUAAGAGCAUGGCUGUUGGGACCCGAAAGAUGGUGAACUAUGCUUGAAUAGGGUGAAGCCAGAGGAAACUCUGGUGGAGGCUCGCAGCGGUUCUGACGUGCAAAUCGAUCGUCAAAUUUGGGCAUAGGGGCGAAAGACUAAUCGAAC
rnacentral:rRNA from 3 species